rnacentral:misc_RNA from 1 species
GAUGAAGAACGUAGCGAAAUGCGAUACUUGGUGUGAAUUGCAGAAUCCCGUGAACCAUCGAGUCUUUGAACGCAAGUUGCGCCCGAAGCCUCGGCUAAGGGCACGUCUGCCUGGGCGUCACGCAUCGCGUCUCCCCCAAACCGCCAAGGCGGAGGGGAAGGAAGAUGGCUUCCCGUGCCUCACCCGGGCGCGGUAGGCCUAAAUUUGGAGCCCGCGGCACUUAGCUCUCGCGGCGAUAGGUGGUGAACAAGGCCUUGGCCGUGCAAACAACCCGCUGCGAAGCUCUAUGUCACGUGCGCUCGUCGGACCCUUUGAAGUUGCCUUCGGUGACUUAAAACCUUUGCGACCCCAGGUCAGGCGGGGCUACCCGCUGAAUUUAAGCAUAUCAAUAAGCGGAGGA